CGAAGGGUGCAAGCGUUACUCGGAAUUACUGGGCGUAAAGCGUGCGUAGGUGGUUCGUUAAGUCUGAUGUGAAAGCCCUGGGCUCAACCUGGGAAUAGCAUUGGAUACUGGCGACCUAGAGUGCGGUAGAGGGGUGUGGAAUUCCCGGUGUAGCAGUGAAAUGCGUAGAUAUCGGGAGGAACACCUGUGGCGAAGGCGACACCCUGGACCAGCACUGACACUGAGGCACGAAAGCGUGGGGAGCAAACAGGAUUAGAUACCCUGGUAGUCCACGCCCUAAACGAUGCGAACUGGAUGUUGGGUGCAACUUGGCACUCAGUAUCGAAGCUAACGCGUUAAGUUCGCCGCCUGGGAAGUACGGUCGCAAGACUG
rnacentral:rRNA from 1 species